rnacentral:tRNA from 1 species
UCUAAAUAGUUUAAUUUAAAAUUUUGAUUUGUGGUUUCAAAGAUAUAAAAGUUUUUAUUUUAGAUAA